rnacentral:lncRNA from 1 species
GACACUGGACACACACACACACACUGGACACAGACACACACACACACACACACACACACACAGGACAAACACACAGACACACAUAGACACACACACAUUGGACACACACACACUGGACACACACACACACAAUGGACACAUACAUUGGACACACACACAUAUUGGAUACACACACGCUGGACACAGACACACACACAAACACUGGACACAGACACAUACACACACACUGGACACACACACACACACACACUCACAUUGGACACACACACACACACACACACACUGGACACAAACACACACACACACACAUUGGAUACAGACACACACACAAUCACUGGAUACAGACACACACACACAUUGGACACACACACACAUUGGACACACACACACAUUGGACACACACACACACAUUGGACACACACACAUAUACACAUUGGACACACACACACAGACACACAAACAUACACACACACACACACACACACAUACUCAUUGGACACACACACAAACACGCACACAUUGGACAUAUACACAAACACACUGGACACUCACACACACACAGACACACACAUAGGACACUGGACACACACACACACACACACACACACACACUGGACACAUAAACACACACACACAUUGGACACACACACAGACACACACAGACAUACACAUUGGACACAUACACACACACACACACACACACACACACAUUGGACACACACACACACUGGACACACACACACACUGGACACACACACACACACACACACACUGGACACAUACAUUGGACACACACACAUAUUGGACACACACACAAACACUGGACACAGACACACACACACACACACACACACUGGACACAGACACACACAAACGCACACACUGGACACACACACACACACACACACACACUGGACACAAACACACACACACAUAUUGGAUACAGACACACACACAAUCACUGGAUUAAGACACACACACAUUGGACACACAAAUUGGACACACACACACUGGACACACACCUUGGACACACACACACACACACACAUUGGACACACACACAUUGUACACACACACAUACACACACAUUGGACACACACACAUACACACAGGCACAUUGGACACACACUCACAUUGGACACACACACACACACACACACACUGGACACACAAACACACUGGAUACACGCACUGGACACAAACACACUGGACACACACACACACAUUGGACACACACACACAUAUUGGAUGCACACACACAUGCACACACACUGGACACACACACACACACACACACACACACUGGACACACACACACACACAUGCUGGACACACACACACACACACAUUGGACGCACACACACAAGCACACACAUUGGACACACACUCACAUUGGACACACACACACACACACACACUGGACACACAAACACACUGGAUACACGCACUGGACACACACACACUGGACACACACACACGCGUCAUCCUAUAAUUGUGAGGACCUUGCCACAGGACUUUCAAAUGAGGACCAUCAUUUCUGAUUGGGAACAAACAGACACCUCAUUCCAGCACUAA